rnacentral:rRNA from 1 species
AACGAACGCUGGCGGCAUGCCUAACACAUGCAAGUCGAACGAUCCCUUCGGGGUUAGUGGCGCACGGGUGCGUAACGCGUGGGAACCUGCCCUUAGGUUCGGAAUAACUCAGAGAAAUUUGAGCUAAUACCGGAUAAUGUCUUCGGACCAAAGAUUUAUCGCCUUUGGAUGGGCCCGCGUUGGAUUAGCUAGUUGGUGGGGUAAAGGCCUACCAAGGCGACGAUCCAUAGCUGGUCUGAGAGGAUGAUCAGCCACACUGGGACUGCGACACGGCCCAGACUCCUACGGGAGGCAGCAGUGGGGAAUAUUGGACAAUGGGCGAAAGCCUGAUCCAGCAAUGCCGCGUGAGUGAUGAAGGCCUUAGGGUUGUAAAGCUCUUUUACCCGGGAUGAUAAUGACAGUACCGGGAGAAUAAGCCCCGGCUAACUCCGUG